rnacentral:rRNA from 1 species
UAAGGAAUAUUGCGCAAUGGACGAAAGUCUGACGCAGCAACGCCGCGUGCAGGAUGAAGGCCCUUUGGGUUGUAAACUGCUGUAGCAGGGGAAUAAUGGCCCACUUUGGUGGGUUUGAAGGUACCCUGAAAGUAAGCGCCGGCUAACUACGUGCCAGCAGCCGCGGUAAUACGUAGGGCGCAAGCGUUGUCCGGAUUCACUGGGUGUAAAGGGUGCGCAGGCGGACUGGCAAGUCAGGGGUGAAAUCUCACAGCUCAACUGUGAAACUGCCUUUGAUACUGCUGGUCUUGAGUCAGGGAGAGGUUGAUGGAAUUCCAGGUGUAGCGGUGAAAUGCGUAGAUAUCUGGAAGAACACCGGUGGCGAAGGCGGUCAACUGGCCCUGAACUGACGCUCAGGCACGAAAGCGUGGGGAUCAAACAGG